CAAUUGAAAUAAAUUAUAUUGAAUUUCUAAUUCAAUUUUUUAUAAGUAAAUUAUUAUUAUUUCUAUUUA
rnacentral:tRNA from 1 species